rnacentral:rRNA from 1 species
AUUGAACGCUGGCGGCAGGCUUAACACAUGCAAGUCGAGCGGAGACUUCGGUCUUAGCGGCGAACGGGUGAGUAAUACCUAGGAAUCUGCCUAUUAGUGGGGGAUAACGAAUCGAAAGGUUCGCUAAUACCGCAUACGUCCUACGGGAGAAAGGGGGGAGUCUUCGGACCUCUCGCUAAUAGAUGAGCCUAGGCCGGAUUAGCUAGUUGGUAGGGUAAAGGCCUACCAAGGCGACGAUCUGUAGCUGGUCUGAGAGGAUGGCCAGCCACACUGGAACUGAGACACGGUCCAGACUCCUACGGGAGGCAGCAGUGGGGAAUAUUGGACAAUGGGGGCGAACCCUGAUCCAGCCAUGCCGCGUGUGUGAAGAAGGCC